CUCAGCUCAGUCCCGUUUGAAUGCAUUGAAGGGUCAAAUAUUAUGACAAAGGAAGGAUGCACAGCAAUAAGACGCCAAGAAUAAUCGGCAAGCGAUAUGUUGUAUUGAUGUGGGGCCGUCUCAACAUCUGGCUAUGGGAUGUUUUUGUGGCCAAAAAAUUAUAAAAUGUUGCAUAUAUGGACAAAACAAGUGCGUCGUACGAGGCGUACUUUUGCUGGACCAGGUAACCCGGGGUCGAUGAAACCGACGAUGUGUGGGCAGCACUUCGAGAGAUCGUGUUUCGAACAAUCAACAAUGCUCACUAAGGAGAGGGAGUAAAAGCUUUCUCGAAGGCUUUACAUUUGAACUCCUAUGACUGGUUGCGGACUUGAAGGGAAUUACUUCCUGGCCUUCCUGACAUCCAGGAAAAAGGUGAGAUUCUAAUCAAUUUCAAUGCCAAAAGCAAGUAAUUGUUUUUAACUUUUUUAAUAUGAUUUUUCUGAGAAUUUCAGUUUUAUUGGAUAGUAGAGAUCUACUGGAACCUAACACCAGAGAGAGAGAGGGGGGAGAUGAUAUGCAGCAAAAGGCCCAGCUGGAUGGUUGCUGCUCCGUGUGGAACGUGUUCUAUCAGGCAAAGCACUGUAUCAGGCAAAGCAGUUUGAAUUUAGCCUUUGGAAGAAAGGAUCAUGCCAGCCCACAUCAAACACCUGAUCAAGAACUUGUGAAUCUUCAGGCAGAAAAGAUGAAAACACCUGUUCAAAGUUCCAGUUUCCUGUACAUGGAACCAUGCCUGUCCUCUGUUCCACAUGUCUUCAGUCAGUUCUGGACCCUAUAGCCGCUUUCACACCGCAGGACUUGCCGUACUUUAGUGCCGGCACUAAAGUACCACGGCACUAAAUCCGCCAUGGGGCUAGUGCCAAUCGCAUUCACACCGCAGUACUUUCCCUGAGGCAAGAUUACGCUGAUGUCACUUCGUCUUCUUCUUCUCUGGGUUUACUGGCAGGCCGCAAAAC